rnacentral:rRNA from 1 species
AGUGAACGCUGGCGGUAGGCCUAACACAUGCAAGUCGAACGGCAGCACAGUAAGAGCUUGCUCUUACGGGUGGCGAGUGGCGGACGGGUGAGGAAUACAUCGGAAUCUACUUUUUCGUGGGGGAUAACGUAGGGAAACUUACGCUAAUACCGCAUACGACCUACGGGUGAAAGCAGGGGAUCUUCGGACCUUGCGCGAUUGAAUGAGCCGAUGUCGGAUUAGCUAGCUGGCGGGGUAAAGGCCCACCAAGGCGACGAUCCGUAGCUGGUCUGAGAGGAUGAUCAGCCACACUGGAACUGAGACACGGUCCAGACUCCUACGGGAGGCAGCAGUGGGGAAUAUUGGACAAUGGGCGCAAGCCUGAUCCAGCCAUACCGCGUGGGUGAAGAAGGCCUUCGGGUUGUAAAGCCCUUUUGUUGGGAAAGAAAAGCAGCAGGUUAAUACCCCGCUGUUCUGACGGUACCCAAAGAAUAAGCACCGGCCAACUUCGUG